GUGAAUUGAAUUGCCCUGUACCGGGUUGGGAUCUGAAGCCACCUGAAGAUUCCAUCCAACUGCUAUUCCGAUUCGUUGAAUCACGUCGUGCAGGGUGGUAACAUGGGCCCAAGUCCAACCUUGCAAGCGGACGACGGCUCAUGGCUAAGGAGGAAGGC
rnacentral:ribozyme from 1 species